rnacentral:rRNA from 1 species
GGUAGUGUAGUUAUAGCUGCAUUAUUUGACGUUAGCGACAGAAGAAGCACCGGCUAACUCCGUGCCAGCAGCCGCGGUAAUACGGAGGGUGCGAGCGUUAAUCGGAAUUACUGGGCGUAAAGCGCAUGCAGGUGGUUUGUUAAGUUCAGAUGUGAAAGACCCGGGGCGUCAACCUCGGAAUAGCAUUUGUAAACUGGCAGACUAGAGUACUGUAGAGGGGGGUAGGAAUUUCAGGUGUAGCGGUGAAAUGCGUAGAGAUCUGAAGGAAUACCGGUGGCGAAGGCGGCCCCCUCGGACAGAUACUGACACUCAGAUGCGAAAGCGUGGGGAGCAAACAGGAUUAGAUACCCUGGUAG